rnacentral:rRNA from 1 species
UUGAACGCUGGCGGCAGGCCUAACACAUGCAAGUCGAGCGGAUGAAGGGAGCUUGCUCCUGAAUUCAGCGGCGGACGGGUGAGUAAUGCCUAGGAAUCUGCCUGGUAGUGGGGGACAACGUUUCGAAAGGAACGCUAAUACCGCAUACGUCCUACGGGAGAAAGCAGGGGACCUUCGGGCCUUGCGCUAUCAGAUGAGCCUAGGUCGGAUUAGCUAGUUGGUGAGGUAAUGGCUCACCAAGGCGACGAUCCGUAACUGGUCUGAGAGGAUGAUCAGUCACACUGGAACUGAGACACGGUCCAGACUCCUACGGGAGGCAGCAGUGGGGAAUAUUGGACAAUGGGCGAAAGCCUGAUCCAGCCAUGCCGCGUGUGUGAAGAAGGUCUUCGGAUUGUAAAGCACUUUAAGUUGGGAGGAAGGGUUGUAGAUUAAUACUCUGCAAUUUUGACGUUACCGACAGAAUAAGCACCGGCUAACUCUGUGCCAGCCGCCGCCGUAACAC